rnacentral:lncRNA from 10 species
GAUUGCUCAAUCUCCUGGAAAUGUCUUCUGUGAGAGCACAUGAAUAAAGCCAGCUCAGAACAAUCCACCCAAGGGAAAAAAGGGAAAGGAAUUCAUCCACCUGCUUCCGCUCCCACUAGGAAAGGGACACUCUCUUCCCUGCUGUACCUGAAACCUAACAGCACAUAAGAGCUGGAUCUGUUCCCACCAUCUUGUUGUCGCAUGAGGCCUAGAACUCAAGCAGCAGCUGAAGAAGCAAGUGGAGACAUGGUAAGGGAGCUAGGACCUGGUGAGCUCAUCUGUGUUCCUGAUCAAGCUGCACCUGAAGCCAGGACACACACUUGGACCAUAAGCCAAUAAUAUCCCCUUUUGCGGAAGCAGUUUUGGUUGGAUUUCUUCUUAUUUGCAACCAG